rnacentral:rRNA from 1 species
AAUCAGUUCGUCCAUUGCUGGACAAACACUUUUAAGAUCUGACCUCAAAUCAGGUAGGACUACCCGCUGAACUUAAGCAUAUCAAUAAGCGGAGGAAAAGAAACUAACAAGGAUUCCCCUAGUAACUGCGAGUGAAGCGGGAAAAGCUCAAAUUUAAAAUCUGGCGGUCAUGCCGUCCGAGUUGUAAUCUGGAGAAGCGUUUUCCGUGUUGGACCGUGUACAAGUCUCUUGGAACAGAGCGUCAUAGAGGGUGAGAAUCCCGUCUUUGACACGGACUACCAAUGCUUUGUGAUACGCUCUCAAAGAGUCGAGUUGUUUGGGAAUGCAGCUCAAAAUGGGUGGUAAAUGCCAUCUAAAGCUAAAUAUUGGCGAGAGACCGAUAGCGAACAAGUACCGUGAGGGAAAGAUGAAAAGCACUUUGGAAAGAGAGUUAAACAGUACGUGAAAUUGUUGAAAGGGAAACGCUUGAAGUCAGUCGCGUUGUCUGGGACUCAGCCUUGCUUCUGCAUGGUGUAUUUCCUGGUUAACGGGCCAACAUCGAUUUUGGUCGGUGGAUAAAGUCAAGAGGAAUGUGGCACCUUCGGGUGUGUUAUAGCCUCUUGUCGGAUGCAUCGACUGGGAUCGAGGAUCGCAGCACGCCUUUUUGGCCGGGGUUCGCCCACGUAAC